rnacentral:misc_RNA from 1 species
UAGAGGACUCUUUUUCCUUGAAGUCAUGAUGAAACAUGCUCUGGAAAACAGGUGAACUUGCAGCAAGAAUUGCUUUAUGUGCUCUUAAAGUGCCAUCAGCAGUGUGGAUCGUAACAUCAGCAUGGAUGGCUUCAUCCAGCAUGCGAGAGAGACGUCUAAGUGUGCUUUGGGUUGAAAUAGACUGCAUCAUACCAUCACUAGGCCAUA